AACGAACGCUGGCGGCGUGGAUAAGACAUGCAAGUCGAACGGGACAGACCGAGUAGCAAUGUUUGGAAUGUUCAGUGGCGAACGGGUGCGUAACACGUGGAUAACAUUCCGGAAAGCGGGGAAUAGCCCAGGGAAACUUGGAUUAAUACCGCAUGUGGCCGCAAGGCUAAAGACGGGGACCGCAAGGCCUGUCACUUUCCGAUUGGUCCGCGGCCUAUCAGCUAGUCGGCGGGGUAAUGGCCACCAAGGCUACGACGGGUAGCUGGUCUUAGAGGACGACCAGCCACACUGGAACUGAGACACGGUCCAGACACCUACGGGUGGCAGCAGUCGAGAAUCUUUCACAAUGGGGGCAACCCUGAUGGAGCGACGCCGCGUGGAGGAUAAGGUCUUCGGAUUGUAAACUCCUGUCAUGCGAGAACAAGGUACUCAGGCUAAUAACCUGAUUGUUUGAUGGUACCGCAAGAGGAAGAGACGGCUAACUCUGUGCCAGCCGCCGCCGUAACAC
rnacentral:rRNA from 1 species